rnacentral:rRNA from 1 species
CCUACGGGCGGCAGCAGUGGGGAAUAUUGGGCAAUGGGCGCAAGCCUGACCCAGCAACGCCGCGUGAAGGAAGAAGGCUUUCGGGUUGUAAACUUCUUUUGUCAGGGAAGAGUAGAAGACGGUACCUGACGAAUAAGCCACGGCUAACUACGUGCCAGCAGGCGAGGUAAUACGUAGGUGGCAAGCGUUGUCCGGAUUUACUGGGUGUACAGGUCGUGAAGGCGGGUUGACAAGUCAGAUGUGAAAUCCUUGGGCUUAACCGCAGAACUGCAUUGGAAACUGUUGAGCUUGAGUACUGGAGAGGCAGACGGAAUUCCUAGUGUAGCGGUGAAAUGCGUAGAUAUUAGGAGGAACACCAGUGGCGAAGGCGGUCUGCUGGACAGCAACUGACGGUGAGGCGCGAAAGCGUGGGGAGCAAACAGGAUUAGAUACCCUAGUAGUC